rnacentral:rRNA from 1 species
UACGGAGGGGGCUAGCGUUGUUCGGAAUUACUGGGCGUAAAGCGCACGUAGGCGGCUUUGUAAGUUAGAGGUGAAAGCCUGGAGCUCAACUCCAGAAUUGCCUUUAAGACUGCAUCGCUUGAAUCCAGGAGAGGUGAGUGGAAUUCCGAGUGUAGAGGUGAAAUUCGUAGAUAUUCGGAAGAACACCAGUGGCGAAGGCGGCUCACUGGACUGGUAUUGACGCUGAUGUGCGAAAGCGUGGGGAGCAAACAGG